UACGGGGGGGGCAAGCGUUGUUCGGAAUUACUGGGCGUAAAGGGCUCGUAGGCGGCCAACUAAGUCAGACGUGAAAUCCCCAGGCUCAACCUGGGAACUGCGUCUGAUACUGGAUGGCUUGAAUCCGGGAGAGGGAUGCGGAAUUCCAGGUGUAGCGGUGAAAUGCGUAGAUAUCUGGAGGAACACUGGUGGCGAAGGCGGCAUCCUGGACCGGCAUUGACGCUGAGGAGCGAAAGCCAGGGGAGCAAAGCGGG
rnacentral:rRNA from 1 species